rnacentral:misc_RNA from 1 species
UCUUCAUUGAUUUGUUUUGAAAGUAAUUUUUGAAUUGUUUCUGAGUCCUGUACUUGUUUUUCUUUGAGCUUACCAAGCUCAACCUUAAUAGCCUUUAUUUCUUUCUGGAGGCUUUGGACAGAAACAUUUGAUUGUUUUGAAGUCUUCUUUCUACCCAAUAUAGCCGUAAGGUCAUAUGUGUUUUUUGCAACAGAGGGCAGAAUAGAUGGUUUUUA